UGGGGAAUCUUCCGCAAUGGACGAAAGUCUGACGGAGCAACGCCGCGUGAGUGAAGAAGGUUUUCGGAUCGUAAAACUCUGUCCUUUGGGGCGAACGUGAGUAUGGUGAACAAUCAUAGUCAGUGACGGUACCAAAGGAGGAAGCCACGGCUAACUACGUGCCAGCAGCCGCGGUAAUACGUAGGUGGCAAGCGUUGUCCGGAAUUAUUGGGCGUAAAGAGCGCGUAGGCGGGAUAGUCAGUCUGUUGUAAAAGUGCGGGGCUCAACCCCGUGAUGGCAAUGGAAACAGCUAUUCUUGAGUGCAGGAGAGGAAAGUGGAAUUCCCAGUGUAGCGGUGAAAUGCGUAGAUAUUGGGAGGAACACCAGUGGCGAAGGCGACUUUCUGGACUGUGUCUGACGCUGAGGCGCGAAAGCCAGGGGAGCGAACGGGAUUAGAUACCCCGGUAGUCCUGGCCGUAAACGAUGGGUACUAGGUGUGGGGGUAUCGACCCCUUCCGUGCCGGAGUUAACGCAAUAAGUACCCCGCCUGGGGAGUACGGUCGCAAGACUGAAACUCAAAGGAAUUGACGGGGUCAUAGCUGUUUCCUG
rnacentral:rRNA from 1 species